AGAGUUUGAUCAUGGCUCAGGACGAACGCUGGCGGCGUGCUUAACACAUGCAAGUCGAACGGAAAGGCCCUUCGGGGUACUCGAGUGGCGAACGGGUGGGUAACACGUGGGUGAUCUGCCCUGCACUUUGGGAUAAGCCUGGGAAACUGGGUCUAAUACCGAAUAGGACCACGCGCUUCAUGGUGUGUGGUGGAAAGCUUUUGCGGUGUGGGAUGGGCCCGCGGCCUAUCAGCUUGUUGGUGGGGUAAUGGCCUACCAAGGCGACGACGGGUAGCCGGCCUGAGAGGGUGACCGGCCACACUGGGACUGAGAUACGGCCCAGACUCCUACGGGAGGCAGCAGUGGGGAAUAUUGCACAAUGGGCGCAAGCCUGAUGCAGCGACGCCGCGUGAGGGAUGACGGCCUUCGGGUUGUAAACCUCUUUCAAUGGGGACGAAGCGCAAGUGACGGUACCUAUAGAAGAAGCACCGGCCAACUACGUGCCAGCAGCCGCGGUAAUACGUAGGGUGCGAGCGUUGUCCGGAAUUACUGGGCGUAAAGAGCUCGUAGGUGGUUUGUCGCGUUGUUCGUGAAAACUCACAGCUUAACUGUGGGCGUGCGGGCGAUACGGGCAGACUAGAGUACUGCAGGGGAGACUGGAAUUCCUGGUGUAGCGGUGGAAUGCGCAGAUAUCAGGAGGAACACCGGUGGCGAAGGCGGGUCUCUGGGCAGUAACUGACGCUGAGGAGCGAAAGCGUGGGGAGCGAACAGGAUUAGAUACCCCGGUAGUCCAA
rnacentral:rRNA from 1 species